UCAGAAUGCCGCGGUGAAUACGUUCCCGGGCCUUGUACACACCGCCCGUCACACCAUGGGAGUUUGUUGCACCAGAAGUAGCUAGCCUAACUGCAAAGAGGGCGGUUACCACGGUGUGGCCGAUGACUGGGGUGAAGUCGUAACAAGGUAGCCGUAGGGGAACCUGCGGCUGGAUCACCUCCUUA
rnacentral:rRNA from 1 species